rnacentral:rRNA from 1 species
UACGUAGGGUGCAAGCGUUGUCCGGAAUUACUGGGCGUAAAGGGCGCGUAGGCGGUCCGCUAAGUUGGAUGUGAAAACUCUGGGCUUAACCCAGAGCCUGCAUUCAAAACUGACGGGCUAGAGUUCUGGAGGGGGUAGCGGAAUUCCUGGUGUAGCGGUGAAAUGCGUAGAUAUCAGGAGGAACACCGGUGGCGAAGGCGGCUACCUGGACAGAAACUGACGCUGAGGCGCGAAAGCUAGGGGAGCAAACAGG